GAUGAACGCUGGCGGCGUGCCUAACACAUGCAAGUCGAGCGAACUCUUCGGAGUGAGCGGCGGACGGGUGAGUAACGCGUGGGUAACCUGCCCUAUACAUAUGGAUAACAUACCGAAAGGUAUGCUAAUACAAAAUAAAGUGUGGACUUCGCAUGAAGAUCAUACCAAAGAUUAUAUCGGUAUAGGAUGGACCCGCGUCUGAUUAGCUAGUUGGUGAGGUAAUGGCUCACCAAGGCGACGAUCAGUAGCCGACCUGAGAGGGUGAUCGGCCACAUUGGAACUGAGACACGGUCCAAACUCCUACGGGAGGCAGCAGUGGGGAAUAUUGCACAAUGGGCGAAAGCCUGAUGCAGCAACGCCGCGUGAGUGAUGAAGGCUUUCGGGUCGUAAAGCUCUGUUCUUAAGGAAGAUAAUGACGGUACUUAAGAAGAAAGCCCCGGCUAACUACGUGCCAGCAGCCGCGGUAAUACGUAGGGGGCAAGCGUUAUCCGGAAUUACUGGGCGUAAAGGGUGCGUAGGUGGUUUUACAAGUCAGGAGUGAAAGGCUACGGCUCAACCGUAGUAAGCUCUUGAAACUGUGAAACUUGAGUGCAGGAGAGGAGAGUAGAAUUCCUAGUGUAGCGGUGAAAUGCGUAGA
rnacentral:rRNA from 1 species